rnacentral:rRNA from 1 species
GACGAACGCUGGCGGAGUGCUUAACACAUGCAAGUCGAACGGAAAGGCCCUGCUUUUGUGGGGUGCUCGAGUGGCGAACGGGUGAGUAACACGUGAGUAACCUGCCCUUGACUUUGGGAUAACUUCAGGAAACUGGGGCUAAUACCGGAUAGGAGCUCCUGCUGCAUGGUGGGGGUUGGAAAGUUUCGGCGGUUGGGGAUGGACUCGCGGCUUAUCAGCUUGUUGGUGGGGUAGUGGCUUACCAAGGCUUUGACGGGUAGCCGGCCUGAGAGGGUGACCGGCCACAUUGGGACUGAGAUACGGCCCAGACUCCUACGGGAGGCAGCAGUGGGGAAUAUUGCACAAUGGGCGGAAGCCUGAGGCAGCAACGCCGCGUGCGGGAUGACGGCCUUCGGGUGGUAAACCGCUUUCGCCUGUGACGAAGCGUGAGUGACGGUAAUGGGUAAAGAAGCACCGGCUAACUACGU